CACGGCGCACGGGUGCGUAACACGUGGGCAAUCUGCCCUCCGAUGGGGGAUAACCCCGCGAAAGCGGGGCUAAUACCGCAUGACAUUCCGGGGACCCCGGUCCCUGGACUCAAAGGCCGCAAGGCCGUCGGAGGAGGAGCCCGCGCCCGAUUAGCUAGUUGGUGAGGUAACGGCUCACCAAGGCUUUGAUCGGUAGCCGGUCUGAGAGGAUGGCCGGCCACACUGGAACUGAGACACGGUCCAGACUCCUACGGGAGGCAGCAGUGGGGAAUAUUGCGCAAUGGGCGAAAGCCUGACGCAGCGACGCCGCGUGGGGGAUGAAGCUUCUCGGAGUGUAAACCCCUUUCGACCCGGACGAAUGACCCGCAAGGGUUUGACGGUACGGGUAUAAGAAGCCCCGGCUAACUACGUGCCAGCAGCCGCGGUAAUACGUAGGGGGCCAGCGUUGCUCGGAAUUACUGGGCGUAAAGGGUUCGUAGGCGGUGCGGCAAGUUGGGAGUGAAAUCUCUGGGCUUAACCCAGAGGCUGCUUUCAAAACUGCCGUGCUCGAGUGCGGGAGAGGCCAGUGGAAUUGCAGGUGUAGCGGUGAAAUGCGUAGAUAUCUGCAGGAACACCCGUGGCGAAGGCGGCUGGCUGGACCGCAACUGACGCUGAGGAACGAAAGCUAGGGGAGCAAACAGGAUUAGAUACCCUGGUAGUCCUAGCCCUAAACCAUCAGAACUUGGGGUGGCUCGCGUAGGCGGGUCGUCCCGUAGCUAACGCGUUAAGUUCUGCGCCUGGGGAGUACGGUCGCAAGACUGAAACUCAAAGGAAUUGACGGGGGCCCGCACAAGCGGUGGAACAUGUGGUUCAAUUCGA
rnacentral:rRNA from 1 species